AAUAUUGGGCAAUGGACGCAAGUCUGACCCAGCCAUGCCGCGUGCAGGAAGACGGCCUUACGGGUUGUAAACUGCUUUUGUAUGGGAAGAAAAAGUUCUUGCGAGAACAACUGACGGUACCAUACGAAUAAGCACCGGCUAACUCCGUGCCAGCAGCCGCGGUAAUACGGAGGGUACGAGCGUUGUCCGGAUUUAUUGGGUUUAAAGGGUGCGUAGGCGGUUUAUUAAGUCAGUGGUGAAAGUGUACAGCUCAACUGUAGAAGUGCCAUUGAUACUGGUAGACUUGAGUAUACUAUAGGCAGGCGGAAUUUAUGAUGUAGCGGUGAAAUGCAUAGAUAUCAUAAAGAACCCCGAUAGCGAAGGCAGCUUGCCGGAGUAUAACUGACGCUGAUGCACGAAAGCGUGGGUAGCGAACAGGAUUAGAUACCCUGGUAGUCCACGCCGUA
rnacentral:rRNA from 1 species